rnacentral:rRNA from 1 species
UCUGCUGUGAAAGNCCGGGGCUUAACUCCGGUUUUGCAGUGGGUACGGGCUAACUAGAGUGCAGUAGGGGAGACUGGAAUUCCUGGUGUAGCGGUGGAAUGCACAGAUAUCAGGAGGAACACCGAUGGCGAAGGCAGGUCUCUGGGCUGUAACUGACGCUGAGAAGCGAAAGCAUGGGGAGCGAACAGGAUUAGAUACCCUGGUAGUCCAUGCCGUAAACGUUGGGCACUAGGUGUGGGGGACAUUCCACGUUUUCCGCGCCGUAGCUAACGCAUUAAGUGCCCCGCCUGGGGAGUACGGCCGCAAGGCUAAAACUCAAAGGAAUUGACGGGGGCCCGCACAAGCGGCGGAGCAUGCGGAUUAAUUCGAUGCAACGCGAAGAACCUUACCAAGGCUUGACAUGCAUUAGAUCGCGUCAGAGAUGGCGUUUCCCUUCGGGGCUGGUGUACAGGUGGUGCAUGGUUGUCGUCAGCUCGUGUCGUGAGAUGUUGGGUUAAGUCCCGCAACGAGCGCAACCCUCGUUCUAUGUUGCCAGCGGUUCGGCCGGGGACUCAUAGGAGACUGCCGGGGUCAACUCGGAGGAGGGUGGGGAUGACGUCAAAUCAUCAUGCCCCUUAUGUCUUGGGCUUCACGCAUGCUACAAUGGCCGGUACAGAGGGUUGCGAUACUGUGAGGUGGAGCUAAUCCCUUAAAGCCGGUCUCAGUUCGGAUUGGGGUCUGCAACUCGACCCCAUGAAGUCGGAGUCGCUAGUAAUCGCAGAUCAGCAACGCUGCGGUGAGUACGUUCCCGGGCCUUGUACACACCGCCCGUCAAGUCACGAAAGUUGGUAACACCCGAAGCCGGUGGCCUAACCCUUGUGGGGGGAGCCGUCGAA